rnacentral:rRNA from 1 species
CCUACGGGAGGCAGCAGUGGGGAAUAUUGCGCAAUGGGGGCAACCCUGACGCAGCCAUGCCGCGUGAAUGAAGAAGGCCUUCGGGUUGUAAAGUUCUUUCGGUAGCGAGGCGUUAACUACAGAAGAAGCACCGGCUAACUCCGUGCCAGCAGCCGCGGUAAUACGGAGGGUGCGAGCGUUAAUCGGAAUAACUGGGCGUAAAGGGCACGCAGGCGGUGACUUAAGUGAGGUGUGAAAGCCCCGGGCUUAACCUGGGAAUUGCAUUUCAUACUGGGUCGCUAGAGUACUUUAGGGAGGGGUAGAAUUCCACGUGUAGCGGUGAAAUGCGUAGAGAUGUGGAGGAAUACCGAAGGCGAAGGCAGCCCCUUGGGAUGACUGACGCUCAUGUGCGAAAGCGUGGGGAGCAAACAGGAUUAGAUACCCUUGUAGUC